UGGGGAAUUUUGGACAAUGGGCGAAAGCCUGAUCCAGCAAUGCCGCGUGUGUGAAGAAGGCCUUCGGGUUGUAAAGCACUUUUGUCCGGAAAGAAAUCCUUGGCUCUAAUACAGUCGGGGGAUGACGGUACCGGAAGAAUAAGCACCGGCUAACUACGUGCCAGCAGCCGCGGUAAUACGUAGGGUGCAAGCGUUAAUCGGAAUUACUGGGCGUAAAGCGUGCGCAGGCGGUUUGCUAAGACCGAUGUGAAAUCCCCGGGCUCAACCUGGGAACUGCAUUGGUGACUGGCAGGCUAGAGUAUGGCAGAGGGGGGUAGAAUUCCACGUGUAGCAGUGGAAUGCGUAGAGAUGUGGAGGAAUACCGAUGGCGAAGGCAGCCCCCUGGGCCAAUACUGACGCUCAUGCACGAAAGCGUGGGGAGCAAACAGGAUUAGAUACCCUGGUAGUCCACGCCCUAAACGAUGUCAACUAGUUGUUGGGGAUUCAUUUCCUUAGUAACGUAGCUAACGCGUGAAGUUGACCGCCUGGGGAGUACGGUCGCAAGAUUAAAACUCAAAUGAAUUGACGGGGU
rnacentral:rRNA from 1 species